rnacentral:misc_RNA from 1 species
AUUCUAUAACUGGUGCAAGGAUAUAGGUGUGUCAAGGUCGUCAGAAUACCCAGAAGUGUCGAGGAUUACAAGCAAGCUAUUAGAUACAUUGGAGGAGUUUGUGAGAGAUAGAGCUAAGGCGAUGAAGAGUCCUGAAAGGAAAGUAGAUAGCCAGCCAGCUCCACAGGGAGAGGAGCCAACACUGGAUAUGAAUGUAAUUAAAGCAUUGCCACCACCAGAGGAUUAUACUGCUCCACCGCCUCCUGAACUAGAGCCUCCUAAGCCUAAGCCUGUUAUUCAGGAGACCAGAGAUCUGGUGGAUUUGAGGGAGGAGGGUGUUACUGCCGAUGCUCAGGGGAAUAAAUUUGCCUUGGCAUUAUUUGCAGGACCAGGAACAAGUAAUGCUAAUGGGUCGUGGGAAGCAUUCCCAUCCAAUGGGGAACCUGAGAUUACGUCUGCUUGGCAGAAUCCAGCAGCUGAGAGUGGCAAGGCUGAUUGGGAACUGGCUUUGGUGGAGACAGCAAGUAAUUUGUCUAAGCAGAAGGCGGCAUUGGGUGGCGGUCUUGAUCCACUAUUGUUGAAUGGCAUGUAUGAUCAGGGUGUUGUUA